rnacentral:tRNA from 1 species
GGCCCCAUCGUCCAGAGGUUAGGAUACCGGUCUUUCAAGCCGGAGACGGGGAUUCGAAUUCCCCUGGGGCUACCA